rnacentral:lncRNA from 1 species
UUCCUUUCGUUAUAAGUUCAUGCCAAAAAAAAAGAUAUGUGAAUAUGAAACUUUUAUUUAAGGCAAAAUUAUCGGUAAUACAUUCAUAAAUUUUUCGAAUUCCAUGGUCGCGAAAGGUUCGCUCCUCCGAGCUUUUUUAGAUAGUAUGUUCCGGGCCAGACUACCUCCCUGACUUCAUACGGGCCUUCCCAGUUUGGGGCAAGUUUCUCUUGGUUCUGAGGUUGUAAAACAGCGAUUCGCCGAAGUACUAAGUCCUCCGCUCUGAAGGCUUUGCUCUUGACCCGGGAGUUGUAGCAGCGGGCUGCUUUCUGCUUGUAGGCUGCCAUCCGAACUUGAGCUGUCUCCCAUUUUUCUUCUAACAAGUCAAGAUUGGUCUUGAGAUCCUAUGAGUUGCAUUGCUCGUCGAAUGCCAUGACUCAUGCCGACGGAAGCUUGAGUUCAAUCAGGAUAACAGCUUCUGUUUCGAAGGCUAAGGCAAAAGGGGUCUCCCCCAUAGGCAAUCUUUGGGUAGUUCAGUAUGCCCA